AUACAGAACAACACACACACACAAAAAGGGGUCCUGGCCGGCGGAGGGAUACGGUGACAUCAUUUCCUCCGCUCUCUAAACCCGCUUCCUGAUUGGCUGCCUGGCGUGACGUCAGUGGCAGACUGGCACACCCUAACCCAACCUGGUGAAGUUUGUCUGAGGCAUAAAUUAUUGGGAAGAUGUUUUGUUCUUCCCAGUUUUGGGGGUCUUUUAAACCUAACAACCUGAAUUUUUUGAGGUAUUUUCCAUAAACAUAGGGCCAGAAAUGGAACAACAGGUGGAAAAAAGCAGUCAAAGGCUUCCCCUUCUUUGUCAGCCAAGCACUGCCAUGUGUACAAAUUCAGAAGAUUUGGUUAGACUCUGCUAUUUGCAACUUUGCAGGGAUAGAAACAUAGAAGGCCAACCAUCUCCAACCAGGCAAUGGUUUUGCGGAAUGUUCAAAAGAAGCUAAUCUUCGGGAAACUACCAUUAAAAUGUUCAACAUUUGAGUUCUAAAGAUUCUUAUGGAAAAUCUUGAAUUUAAAAGCCUUUUGAAAUUCUACUACGAUAAAGCAUCUAUGGUUUUUAAUAUGAUAUGAAUGUUACUUUUUUCAAAAAUGCCUGAUCUGUGGAAUGUAUUAACUAAUAUAUUUAAUAAAUACAUUAAUACAU